GAGACUGGCAAGAUAUCUUAUAUUAUUAACAAUUUUUCGAUUCUUUGAAAAAAUUAAUUUCAAUUUCAAAAGUUUUUUGAAAUUAAUAAAACUAUCAUUGAAAGGAUAAACAAACUAGUAUAAAAAUAAGUGUCCGGCUGAACUAAAACUCAGACCAACAGGUCCACCCUUUACACCCGGUCCUAAAGCCCAACACGUGAUUGAUAAAAUAUAAAGCUAAUAUCUGUUUGGAAGAGCAAAGGAUGAGAGUAGCAGCAUCUGCGUCUCUUUACACAAUCCGUCCAAUGUCCAUCAGAUAUGGCUUCCAUCAACAUCAUGCCAUUAAAUCUCCUCAGCUGUACAAAUAUUCUGAAGAUAAAAUAAUUGAAGUAAAAGUAAAUUGCAUAUAAAAGAAAGCUUGGGCAGCCAUUUCCUUGUUUAUAAUAUCAUUAUUAGCAUGGAAAUUCAGUAGCAGUGAAACAUUGCAUCCCCCAAAUCCACAGGGACCUGGAUGCAAAAUGAAUAAACACUUAUUUAUACUCAUGGAAAACUACAACAGGAAAAAAGUGCAUAUAAAGCAAAAUUACAAACCAGUGGAUUGAUCUUGUUAGGACCAUUGCCUACAUUCGUCAUGAACCUCACAACUGUACAUUCCAUGUCCUGCUUCAAGUACCUCCUGCAUUGCUCAAUGGUAACAUCAAAUUACAAGUACGAUAUAAUAGUGAACUUGGUAAAGACAGCAAAAAAUGAGGUUAUAUAUAUAUAUAUAUAUCAACUAUCUGUUCAAAUUAGAAAGACAAAUGCUUACCAGCUAAUUUUGAAGAAAGAAUUCUGAUGGAGUCACCUAUAUCUUCUGCUAUUUCUUUUCCCACACUUUUUGAACUUGUCCACCCAUUUGUUUCCCAACUCAUUCAGCACUGUAUAUCCAAUACAUAGCCCAACGACUAAUCCACUAGCAUAACCUAUCAACGCAAUUUUCCAAGUAGACAGAGCAUUUAACCAUGAAUCUUCACCUUCCCCUGGAGGUGGUGGCAUUGGAAGACUAACUUCAUUGCAUUUCCUUGACAAUGGCAGCCCACACAAUUUUGGGUUCCCACGGUAGGAAUCAUUUGUAAAUGUAAUGAAUUGGUUGCUUUGUGGUAUGCUCCCUUCAAGUUGGUUGCAUGACAAGUUCAAUGCUGCCAGGAAAGUUAAACUUGUAAGUUGUGCAGGAAUCUUCCCUGACAGCUCAUUCUGUGAGAGAUCCAAAGAUUCAAGAUCUUUUAGAUUUUCAAGUGCUAAUGGGAUUUCACCAGAAAAGCCAUUGUUGGAUAAGUUUAUCACUCUGAGUGACCUCAGCAUUUGUAUCUCUUCUGGUAUUCUCCCAUGGAAACUAUUGUUGGAAAGGUCAAGACAAGUAAGAAUUGUCAAGACUUUUUGGUACAACAUUUCAAUCCCUCUGUUAACAAUUGUCACAGAGUCUUGAUAAUAAUUCUCUCCGAUAUAAUCCAGCGUAGCCUUUUCAUCAUUAGUCAUCUCCGCCAUUGCCUUCAAACUCUGCAAAAAUUCAAUAGACAAGUCACCUGAAAAAUUGUUGGAAGCAAUGUCCAAUAUGCGUAGCUUUGGAAACCCACGUUUCGUGUCAAUUUUUGAAAUUGUGCCGUAGAAUCUGUUUGCUCGCAAAACGAGAACCUUCAAGGAAGGUAGCUUCUCUAACCAAAAUGGGAAUGUAUCAUGAACCAUAUUAUUUCCAAGGUCCAGAACCUCAAGUGCUGUGCAAUUGGCUAAUGAUCUCGACAGCUUCCCUUCCAAUUUAUUCCCACCUAUUUUGAGUGACCUUAGUCGAGUGGGUUGAAGGAAAUCAAUGGAUAGUUCACCAGAAAACUGGUUUGAAGCAAUGUCCAAUACAUCCAAAGUUGGGAAAACAGAUUUAUGUUUGAAAUGUUUAAUUUGACCAUAAAAUCUGUUUUCCCGCAAUAUUAGAACCGUCAAGUAAGGCAAUUUCUCCAACCAAAAAGGGAAUGUAUCAUUCAUCUUGUUGCUUCCCACGUCCAAAACUUCAAGCUGAGUGCAUUCAGCUAAUGAUCUGGGCAACUUUCCUUCCAAUCUAUUCUCACUAACUUUGAGAAACGACAGUUGGGUUGCUUUUGAAAAUUUUGGCAUCAUUCCACUGAAGUUAUUUCCUUGCAGAUCCAACGAAUAGAGAGCACUCAUAUUGCCCAAGCAAUUCGGAAUUGGGCCACUCAAACUGUUAUAAGAUACAUCAAAACGGCCGAGUCGACUCAUUUUGCAUAACCAAUUUGGAAUUGGGCCACUCAAAUUGUUAGAAGAUGCGUCGAAACUGAAAGGCCCCUGUGAAAAAUUUGAACUCUGAUUGGGUAGAAGUUGUUCCAAAGACGAGAGAUGGUUAUUAGCAAGAUACAGAUACCGCAAACUUUUCUUCCACACCCAGUUUGGAAUUGCACCACUUAUUUUAUUAUUUGAAAGUUCGAGAUAUUCCAAAUUUUCUUGACUCUUUAAGAACUCUGGAAAUGAGCUUAUGUUACAAGAUUCCAGAUACAAUUCCCUCAACAUUGAAAAAGAGAAGUUUAAAUCACUUAAGGGAAGCUGUUUUGGAAAAUCAAUCACAUUGAAAGAAAGGUUUACCCUUAAAAGAGUGCUAUUCCACAACCAAUUAGGCACAACACCAUGGAUAUGGUUGUUAGAAAGAUCUAACACAACCAACUUGUCUUGUGUUUUGAUGAACUCUGGAAACGCACUUAUGUUACAAGACCUCAAAUGCAAUACUUUCAACAUUGGAAAUGAGAAGUUAGCAUCAUUUAAGGGAAGCUGUUUUGGAAAAUCAAUCAUAUUGAAAGAAAGGUCUACCCAUGAAAGACUGCUCUUCCACAACAAAUUGGGCACAACACCAUGGAUAUGAUUGCUAGAAAGAUAUAAGUCAACCAACUUGUCUUGCCUUUUAAUGAAUUCUGGAAAUUCAGUAAGGUUGCAUGACUUUAGCCCUAGGCUCUCUAAUUGGGGAAAAGUAAGACUUCCGUUGUCGCUGUCAAUUAACAAGCUUACGUUGGAUAAGUAGAGACCCUUUAAGUUCUUGAGUUGGACAAACAUGUCAAGCUUCAUGGAACUGAAGCUAUUGUCUCGGAUAUAAAGCCAUUCAAGCCUUGGAAGUUGAAGGAUUGAUUUUGGGAUUGUUCCUUUUAAAUAAUUAUUGCCUAUAUAUAAUUCUUGAAUCAAAGAAGAAGAUGCAUUGGGGAACUCAUCAAUUUUCCCAACCAAUUGAUUUUCUCCAAGAUACAAGAUCUUCAACGAUGGAAGAGUAAAUAAAGAAGAAUGUAUUGAUCCAGAAAGCUUGUUCCCUCCUAGAUAUAGGUUGACCAGGUGACUAAGAUUUGCAAUUGACGAUGGAAUGGGUCCAAAAAAAUUGCAAUCAUCAAGCUCUAAAUUUGUCAGGAACUUGAGGUUACCAAUUGAUUGGGGUAGUUUUUCACUGAAAUUUGUAUAAGAAAGCGACAAACUCUGUAAAGAAUUGUUUGAUGAAAAUUCUGGCAACUGACCCAUAAGUUGGUCAUUAUCUGAAAUGUCAAUGCUUUGCAUUUUUGGCGAUAAGAGAUUUUCAGUUGGAAAAUGGCCACUCAAAUUGCAGUUCCUCUGUUGGUGCAAGAGGCAGCAGCAAGCUGUUUCUAGUCUUGCUUGAGUAGUAAGGCUCGAGGCUUGGUGAAGAAGCAAACUCGGAAGCAAUAAAAAACAGAAAGAUGAAGCUAGCAAGUGAAAACAGAAAAGAGAGAAAGAGAUUGAAUGAAAAUGAGCUGAUAUUUUUCAUUAACACAUGAACAAGGCAUUAAGCCAUUACAUAUAUCAGUCAAUAAGUAAAACAAACAAGUAAUCACCUACUAACAUACCUAACACCACUAAAAUGCCUAGUAACUUGGUAAACUUGAUUGAAAAACAAAAAAGCUUCUACCUAAGCUUGUCAUUCAGCACCUAAUUACAUCAAAAUGCAGCUACCAACUAAGUUUGAUCCUAACUAAAUACAAAACAUUCAAUUAAGGAAACCAAAUGAAUAGCUUCAGCUUGCUGCAUCAAUUUGCUGCUGAAGCACGUUCCUUGCAUGGCCACCUUUGCUGCUACAUGGGAGCUGACUUCAACACUCCUCCUCAGCUUCUAUGCAGCAGACUCCUAGCUUCCUCUUCAGGCUUAGAUAUCUUGAUACACCAAGAGGCUUUGUGAAGAUAUCGGCAAUCUGAUUUUCAGAACUGCAAUGGAUUAGCUCAAUUUCUCGAGCUUGUUCCAUUUCUCUUAUCACAUGGAGUUUGAUGUUGAAAUGUUUUGUCCUGCCAUGAAAGACAGGAUUUUUAGCAAUAGCAACUGCUGACUUGUUGUCACAAUGUAUCACAGUUGCUUCAUUCUGCUGUAGAUUCAAGUCACUCAAAAUUUUUCUCAGCCACAUGGCUUGAUUAACAGCAUUGGCAGCUGCUACAUACUCUGCUUCUGCUGUCGAUUGAGCCACCAUUGUUUGUUUUCUUGAGCUCCAACAAAUCAUAGCUGAGCCAAGUGUAAAAGCAUAGCCAGAAGUGCUCUUCAUGUCAUCCUUUGAACCAGCCCAAUCGCUAUCAGUGUAGCCAAUCAGUUUCAACUCUUCAGCCUUUCUAAACUGUAUUCCAUGGUUUAAGGUACCUUUAAUGUAUCUUAGCACCCUUUUCCCAGCCUUGUAAUGUUGCUGGUUACAGCAGUGCAUGAACCUUGAUAGCAUGCUUACAGCAAACAAAAUGUCGGGUCUUGUUGCUGUCAAAUACAAUAAACACCCAACAAGGCUUCUGUAAUCUGUUUCACAGACAGAUUCAUGUUCCUCCUGGCUCGAUAGCUUUAUGCCAAUAGCCAUUGGUGUGCUCACUGGUUUGCAAUUCUCCAUUGAGAAUUUAGCCAGCACUUUCAAGGCAAAUGUCUUUUGUUUCAAGAAGAUUCCUCCUUCUAUUUGAUUGACUUCCAUUCCUAGGAAAUAUGUCAUCAAUCCCAGGUCUGACAUCUCAAACAUUUUCUUCAUUCUUGCUUUGAAAUCAACCAUCAUAAGCUUGUCUCCUCCAGUCACGAGAAGAUCAUCAACAUAUAGUGACACAAUAAGCUGUGUUUCAGCUCCAUUCUUCUUAACAUAGAGUGUUGGCUCACUAGCACUCCUUUCAAAUCCCAAACUGACCAAAUAUGAGUCAAUUCGAGCAUACCAGGCUCGAGGGGCCUGUUUUAGGCCAUACAAGGCCUUUCUUAGCCUAUACACCAAUUGUUCCUUACCAGGCACUAUAAAACCUGGGGGUUGCUCGAUGUAUAUCUCUUCUUCAAGAAAUCCAUUGAGGAAUGCAGACUUGACAUCCAUCUGGUGGAUUGUCCACUGGUUCUGAGCAGCAACUGCAAUCAGCAAUCUGAUUGUAUCGAGUCUGGCUACUGGAGCAAAUGUUUCCAUGUAGUCCAGACCAUACCUUUGACUGAAGCCCUUUACAACUAGCCUGGCCUUUAGCUUGUUUAAGCUUCCAUCUGCAUUGUACUUCACUCGAUAGACCCAUUUUACACCGAUAGUCUUUCUGUUGGCAGGCUUUUCAACCAACUCCCAUGUCUGAUUCUUUACAAUCAUGUUGAUUUCAUCAACCAUAGCUUGUUUCCAACCUUCAUCUGCCUCAGCCUCUUCAAAACUGCUAGGUUCUGCUAAUGCAACCUGUGCCCUUUCAUAAAUAUCUUCUAGGGGCCUUGUGCCUCUCACAGGCACAUCAUCAACAUCCAUUUCAGGUUCUAGCUGCUCAAGUUCAGCUUGAUUAGGCACUAGGUCUUCUGAAAUUGCUUCUGGCUCAUUUUUCUCCCAAUUCCAGCAGGCUUUUUCAUCAAAGAUGACAUCUCUGCUCACUUGGACUUUGUUUGUCAAGGGAUCCAGAACCCUGUAGCCCUUUUUGACUGAGCUGUAGCCUACUAGAACACCUGGUUGAGCCCUUUUAGAGAGCUUGUCUCUCUUUGCUGCUGGUAUUUGUGCAUAACACAGGCAACCAAACACUUUCAGGUGUGCCAAGGAAGGCUUGAAACCAAACCAAGCCUCGAAAGGUGUCUCGGAUGCAAGAGCUUUAGUGGGAAGCCUGUUCUGAAGGUAAACAGCAGUGUUUACUGCCUCAGCCCACAUGGUCUUGGGCAGUUUCUUCUCAAACAGCAGACAUCUGGCCAUAUCCAUCAGACUUCUAUUCUUUCUUUCAGCUACCCCAUUCUGCUGAGGUGUGUAGACAUUUGUAAGCUGAUGUUUGAUACCAGCAUCAUUGCAAAUGGCUUGAAACUGAGCUGAAGUGUACUCAGUGCCAUUGUCUGUCCUUAUCGAUUUCAGCUUGCAACCUGUUUCUGUUUCUACAGCAUUUUUAAACUUCACAAACACUUGAGCUACCUCAGACUUGUGUUUUAAAAAGAAAAUCCAGCAAAACCUUGUAAGAUCAUCAAUAAAGAGGAUGAAAUACCUGUUUUUGCUGAGUGAUUCAGUCCUCAUCGGGCCACAUACAUCAGAGUGCACCAGCUGUAGUCUUUCAGUAGCUCUCCAAGCUGAAUUUGUAGGAAAUGGCAGUCUUGCCUGUUUCCCCAUUUGGCAGACUUCACACACAUCAUCAUGCUCCACUGAGCUGGUGAAGUUCUCUGCCAUGCCCUCUUUGGCCAAUCGAGCCAUUGAUCUGAAGUUGGCAUGUCCAAGCCUUUGAUGCCAAAGCUUGGAGUCUUCAACAGAGGCUGUGUAUGCUGAGUUUGAGUCAUUUGCCCAGUGAACCUCAAAGCAUUUAUCAGUCAUUGUGACUGUCAUAAGGCUUGAUCCACUUGGAUCAGUAAUAUGGCAUUGUUUAUCCUUGAACACAACAGAAUAACCUUUCUCGAGCAGUUGAGCUAUGCUGAGAAGGUUUCUGUCAAUCUGUGGUACCAACAGCACAUUUGGAAUGAUCUUGUUGCCUGUGGGAGUAGAUAUCAGCACUUCUCCUCUUCCUUCAGCCCUUAUAAACUGACCAUUUCCAACCUUGACCUUGGUUUUAUAACUUCUGUCCAAGGUUUUAAACAAGGAGGCAUCUGGUGACAUGUGGUUAGUGCAACCACUGUCCAGCAGCCAGCCUUUAGAGCAUUUCUUCUCAGAAGCUACACAGGAAACAGCAAAGACCUGUUCUUCUUGGUCACUACUGUCCUCAGCUACUCGAGCUUCAACCUUUGACUGCUGAAAUUGAUUCUGCCUUGGCUUACUUCUGUUUUUGCAGACCCUUUCAACAUGGCCCUUCUUCUUGCAGUGUUGGCAUACUGCAUCUGGCCUAAACCAGCAUCUGUCUUCUGGAUGGCCAGGCUUCUUGCAAUAUCUGCAUGGCUGGUCAUUGCUCCUUGCAGCAUCAGGCUUAGGCCUGUUUUUCCAAGGCCUUUUGCCUCUUUGAGCAUUAGUGCUCGAGGUUUCUCUGGCCUUGGCUUGAAAUGCACCUUCUUGGUGAUCUUCAGCUCUGCUAGCUCUUCUUUGUUCCUGAGCAUAAAAGGUGUUGAUUAGCUCAGUCAAAGAGAUGCUAGCAAGAUCUCUUGAGUCCUCUAGAGAGGAUAUCUUGGCCUCAUAUCUCUCAGGCAAAGUGGAGAGGACUUUCUCCACAAUUCUUGCCUCAUCAAAGUGCUCACCUAGGAGCCUUAUGCUGUUAACCACUGCCAUAAUUCUAUCUGAGUACUGCUUCACUGUUUCUUCUUCCUUCAUCUUCAAAUUCUCGAAAUCCCUUCUCAAGUUUAGCAGCUGCUGUUGCCUUGUUCUCUCAGUGCCUUGAAACUCCUCCUUAAGCUUAUCCCAGGCCUGUUUUGGAGUCUCACAGGCCAUGAUUCUGGUGAAGAUGACAUCUGACACACAGUUCUGGAUGCAGGACAUGGCUUUGUGCCUUUUGGUCCUCUCAUCAGCAUGUUGCCUAAUCUGAGCUACUGUGGGAUUAGCCCUCAGUGGUGCUGGCUCAGUAUCUGUGUUGACAACUUCCCACAGAUCAAAAGCCUGUAGGUAAGUCUUCAUCUUGACCAGCCAUAUGUGAAAGCCUUCUCCAUUGAAGACUGGUGGGGCUGCUGGUGAAAAUCCUGAAGAAGCCAUCAAGUUCUUUGUUUUGAAGCAACAGGUCCACUAAGACAAGAGCUCUCGAUACCAAUUGUUGGUGCAAGAGGCAGCAGCAAGCUGUUUCUAGUCUUGCUUGAGUAGUAAGGCUCGAGGCUUGGUGAAGAAGCAAACUCGGAAGCAAUAAAAAACAGAAAGAUGAAGCUAGCAAGUGAAAACAGAAAAGAGAGAAAGAGAUUGAAUGAAAAUGAGCUGAUAUUUUUCAUUAACACAUGAACAAGGCAUUAAGCCAUUACAUAUAUCAGUCAAUAAGUAAAACAAACAAGUAAUCACCUACUAACAUACCUAACACCACUAAAAUGCCUAGUAACUUGGUAAACUUGAUUGAAAAACAAAAAAGCUUCUACCUAAGCUUGUCAUUCAGCACCUAAUUACAUCAAAAUGCAGCUACCAACUAAGUUUGAUCCUAACUAAAUACAAAACAUUCAAUUAAGGAAACCAAAUGAAUAGCUUCAGCUUGCUGCAUCAAUUUGCUGCUGAAGCACGUUCCUUGCAUGGCCACCUUUGCUGCUACAUGGGAGCUGACUUCAACAUCCUCAAACUGAGAGAAACCAAACGAGAGGAAAUUUCCAAGAAAUUGGGAGGUAAAUAAGAGAUUGGGUUCCAAUCAAGGAUAAGUUUGGAAAGAAAAGAGAGUCUUGAGAGUGAAGAACAUAAUGGACCUUUCAAACCACAGCUUGACAGACUCAACACAUGCAGGUUUGGAAGUACAAGAGAUGUGGUUUCACACCAUUUAGUACUUUGAGUUGAAAUGUCGACACCAUCCAAAUAAAGCUCCGUGAGAAACUUCAAAUUCUUGAUAAAUGUCUUGAAGUUUGGUUUCUCCAAUUUUAAAGUAGCUGAGUUAUAAUCGUAACCAUUUCUCCAAUAGCAAUCAUCUUGAUAAGAUAGGUUCAGAGAGACUAACCUUGUUAGGUGUGAGAUGUUCAUUGGAAUUUGGCCAUGGAAACAUGAGCUUGAAAGGUUGAGAUGAGUUAGAUUUUGGAGUUUAUCAAACCCAUAGGAAAACAGAGUGGUAUUAAAGUUGUUUCCAGCAAGAUUAAGGCGUUGAAGACGAUGGAGAUUGAAUAUGGGGUGAAAGCUGCCUGAAAGGUUUUUGUAACUAAGAUCAAUGCCAACGACAUGACCAUAAGCAUCACAAGUGACUCCUUCCCAAGAGCAACAAUCAGUGUUGACAUCCCAGAGGUCAAAUUCGGAAGAGAAAGUAAAAUGAGGGGCAUAGUAAAGAUGAUGCUGCAAUUGCAGGAGAGGAGCUCUCUGGUCAUCAAGGCAUUGCUUAGGGAGAUGAGAUUGAGGAGGUGAAAAAGACAAGACAAGAGAAAGGAAGCAUGAGAAGAGGAAGAGUGAAAUAAGGAAAUGAAGAGUGUUCAUGUUUGUUGGGUGUGAAGAAGGAUUGUGCUUGGCAUACAACUUAUUUAUACACAAAUGUGUAGUUUUCAUGUUUGGCAUAGCAUGCAAUUUCCAAGUCUUUUUGCCCAGUCAAUACUGCAUCAAAAUAAUGUUCCACCACUUUAGUUAAGUCUUUUUGGUUAACCUUUUCCAGCAAGGGAUAAUAAUAAUAAUAAUACUAAUAAUAAAUAAUUUAUAGCAUAAAUUAUUUGUUGUUAGUAUUAGAAAUAAGUUGUUAAAUUCACAUUUAAUUUGCGUUUUAAUAUAUUAUUAGAGAAUAAUAUAUUAUUGAUGUCAUUUUUUUAAUAUUUAAUAUUUAUGUUUUAUGUUUUAUAUUAAUAAAUAUUUUUAUAAUUCGAGUUUCGAGUUGAAUUUUACAAUUUAAAUAACUCAAAUACUUCAAACAAUAAAUUGAUGUACAUGCUCCUUUGGUCCCUGUCAAUUUUAAAAAUUAACAAAUUGAUCUCUCUCAACAAAAGUUUUCAAAUAAAAUUUUAAAUAAUUUUUAAAAUCAAAAUAUUCAUAAAAAUUCUCAAAUUUAUAUUUUGUAAAAACUAUAAUAAUUUUAAAUCAUAAUGGUUUUAAUUUGAAAAUUUUAAAAUCUUUAAUUUAGGACCAGAAAAAAUUGUAGUAUGAAAUAUUAUAGGCCUUUUAAUUUAGGUAUUAAGUCUUUGGCAUUGCAUGCAAAUGUCCAAGUUUUUAUUGCACAAAAAUAAUGUUUAACCAAUGUGUACAAGUCAAGUCACCUUAUAGAUUGAUGGACACAAUAAGUGGAAAUUUUGAUGAUAGAAUAUAUAGAAUUUUUCACUUUUGAAAGAUACAUUUUUAAAUUUCAGCUUUCAAACUUUCUUAAAGCUUGAGAAAUAUUUUCAUUUCUAUAUUAUUAUUUAAUUAUUAUUUAAUUUUAAUAUUUUAAUAUUUUAUAAUAUUAAAAAUAGUUAUAAUUCGAGGUUCGAGUUGAAUUUUAUAAUUUAAAUAAUUCGAAUAAUUCAAAUAACAGAUUGAUAUAUUUACUCCUUUGAUUCUUGUCAAUUUUAAAAAUUAACAAAUUAAUAUUCUCUCUCAACAAAAAUUACAAAAAUAUAUUAAAAUAUUUUUAAAGUUAAAAUAUUCAUAAAAAUUCUAAAAUUUAUAUUAUGUAAAGACUAUAAUAAUUUUUUAUUAUUUUGCUUUGAAACAGUUUUCUAAUAUUUAUGAUUUCAAAUAUUAAUUAUACUAUAAUAAAAUUUUAAUUUGACAUAUUUAUUUUUUAAUUUAAAUCAAACAAUUUUACACAAUAAUGUUUUUUAUAUACCCUAUAAUUUUGACCAGUCAACACUAUAAACAUAGGUAAAAUACAAAUACAUAAGAGCUCAAAAAUAACACUAAAAAAAACAAUUGUUUGAUUUAUUAGUAGAGAAUUGGAUUUUUAAUUCUAAUGAUUAAAUAUCAAACUCAAACAACUUCAAAUAUAUAUACAUAAAGGAUGUUAUGUAACACUCAUAAAAAUCAUCAAAAAUAAAUGAGUACUCCUAAAUCCCAACUUAUAAAUAUGCUAUGAUCUACCAACGGGUUUAAUUAAAUCCAACACCCCAAAUUAUGGGCUCAACUCUAACACUACACCAGAACAGGCUUUUAGCGGCAUAUUUUGUGGCGUUUGGAUUACAAACGCCGCUAAAAAUCGAGCAUUAGUGGCGCAAAGAAUACAACGCCGCUAAAGAUCUAGCAUUAGCGGCGCUUCUUUUAAAACGCCGCAAAAAGUCGGAUGAAUAGUGGCGUUUCCCGAACAAACGCCAUAAAAAAACAUCAUUAGUGGCGUUUACCACACAGUGCCGUAGAAUCUCAAGACCAACACGCAGUGUUCUGGUCUUGAUGUAUAUUAGAAUUAGUGGCGCUUACGAACAAACGCCGGUAAUGCAUAGUAUUAGCGACGCUUAGCGGAAGCGCCGCAAAAGAUGUUAACCAAAACGCAGAGUUUGGUGUUGAUGUAUAUUACAAUUAGUGGUGCUUAUAAAGAAAACGCCGCUAAUGUAUAGUAUUAGCGGCGCUGAGCGUUAAAUGCCGCAAAACAUCUUAACCAAAACGCAGCGUUUUGGUCUUGAUGUAUAUUAUAAUUAGUGGCGUUUAAGGAAAACGCCACUAAAGCAUAGUAAUAGCAGCGUUUGGUUGUAAGCGCCUCAAAAUAUCUUAACCAAAACGCGGAGUUUGGUCUUGAGGUAUAUUAGAAUUAGUGGCGCUUAUUGGAAAACGCCGCUAAACUAUAGUAGUAGCGGCGCUUGUGGAAAGCGCCGCAAAGUAUCCUAACCAAAACGCAGAGUUUGGCCUUGACGUAUAUUAGAGUUAGUGGCACUUAUUUCAAAACGCCGCUAAUGCUUACUAUUUGCGGCGCUUUGUGGUAAGUGCCGCCAAAAAAUGCACAAUAAAAGGAAAAUACAAAAAGCAAGCCAAUUAAAAAUAAAAAACAAAGGAAGCAAUAAGUAAAUAAAUAAAUAAAAAGGUGACUACCAAUAAAACAUUUUAUUAAAAAUUGAAAAUAAAUAAAUAAAUAAUAAAUGAAACAGUUUGUAAAAAAAAUUGAAGUUAAAUAAACUAAGGAUCAUAUUGAAAUCGGAAUAAAAUUAAGGAGUAUAAAUUGUAAAUAAAAAAGGCUAAUAAGAAUUAAAAUAUAACAUGCUAAAAAGAAUAGGGACCGAAUAGGAGAAUAUACCUUGCCCUUAUGCGCACCGUUUCUCACGGGACUAAAAUGAAAUAAAAUUAAAAUUUCGUGAUAAAAUUAACAUAAAACCUAGACCAACAGGUUCACUCUUUAUUAAUGAGUAUGGAACUUCUGAAUAUGUUAGGAUUUACCAAAAGGUUAAUUCCUUAAAUUAUGGAUUAAAUUUUAAAUUGAUUUCUAAAUUUUUAAAAAAAAAUUUGAUUAAGCCCUCAAACUAUAAGUUACAUCCUAAUUUGAAAUUUUUAAUUUUGGACUAACAAAGAAAAUAUUAGUGUGAGAUAUUGUUGGCCUUUGGCUAACAUUGGAAAGCAUACUAGAUUUUAAGAAAUAAUUUAUUUGAUAAAAUUUUUAUUAUUUUUAUUAUUUUUAUCAUAUUAUUACUUAAUUCAACCAUAUUUUUAAAAUUAAUAAAACUAUCCUUGAAAGUAUAAAUAAACUAGUAUAAAAAUAAGUGACGGGCUGAACUAAAACCCGGACCAACAGGUCCACCCUUUACACCCGGUCCUAAAGCCCAACACGUGAUUCAUAAAAUAUAAAACUCAUGUCUGUUUGGAAGAGCAAAGGAUGGGAGUAGCAGCAUCUGCGUCUCUUUACACAAUCAGUCCAAUGUCCGUCAAAUAUGGCUUUCACCAACAUCAUGCCAUCAAAUCUCCUCAGCUGUACAAAUAUUCUGAAGAUAAAAAAAUUGAAGUGAAUUGCAUAUAAAAGAAAGCUUGGGCAGACAUUUCCUUGUUUAUAAUAUCAUUAUUAGCAUGGAAAUUCAGUAGCAGUGAAACAUUGCAUCCCCCAAAUCCACAGGGACCUGGAUGCAAAAUGAAUAAACACUUAUUUAUACUCAUAGAAAACUACAACAGGAAAAAAGUGCAUAUAAAGCAAAACUACAAACCAGUGGAUUGAUCUUGUUAGGAUCAUUGCCUACAUUCUUCAUGAACCUCACAACUGUACAUUCCAUUUCCUACUUCAAGUACCUCCUGCAUUGCUCAAUGGUAACAUCAAAUUACAAGUACGAUAUGAUAGUGAAGUUGGUAAUGACAACAAAAAAUGAGGUUAUGAAAACCUAUAUAUAUACAUAUAUAUCAACAACUAUCUGUUCAAAUUAGAAAGACAAAUGCUUACCAGCUAAUUUUGAAGCAAAAAUUCUGACGGAG
rnacentral:lncRNA from 1 species